rnacentral:rRNA from 1 species
AUUGAACGCUGGCGGCAGGCCUAACACAUGCAAGUCGAGCGGAUGAAGGGAGCUUGCUCCUGGAUUCAGCGGCGGACGGGUGAGUAAUGCCUAGGAAUCUGCCUGGUAGUGGGGGAUAACGUCCGGAAACGGGCGCUAAUACCGCAUACGUCCUGAGGGAGAAAGUGGGGGAUCUUCGGACCUCACGCUAUCAGAUGAGCCUAGGUCGGAUUAGCUAGUUGGUGGGGUAAAGGCCUACCAAGGCGACGAUCCGUAACUGGUCUGAGAGGAUGAUCAGUCACAGUGGAACUGAGACACGGUACAGACUCCUACGGGAGGCAGAAGUGGGGAAUAUUGGACAAUGGGCGAAAGCCUGAUCCAGCCAUGCCGCGUGUGUGCAGAAGGUCUUCGGAUUGUAAAGCACUUUAAGUUGGGAGGAAGGGCAGUAAGUUAAUACCUUGCUGUUUUGACGUUACCAACAGAAUAAGCACCGGCUAACUUCGUG